rnacentral:rRNA from 1 species
CUCCCGCCGGCGACCGGCGCACGGGUGAGUAACACGUAUGGAACCUGCCCGCAGCAGGGGGAUAAGCGGAAGAAAUUCCGUCUAAUACCGCGUAACAACGUUGGGAGGCAUCUCCCGAUGUUUAAAGAUUUAUCGGCUGCGGAUGGCCAUGCGGCGCAUUAGCUAGUCGGCGGGGUAACGGCCCACCGAGGCGACGAUGCGUAGGGGUUCUGAGAGGAAGGUCCCCCACACUGGUACUGAGACACGGACCAGACUCCUACGGAAGGCAGCAG